GGCCGAGUGGCAGAAAGGCUAUGCAGCGGAUUGCAAAUCCGUGUAUGUCGGUUCAAUUCCGGCCUCGGCCUCCA
rnacentral:tRNA from 1 species